UACCUUGUCCUUAGAUCUCACUGGACUUAAUUGAGUCACAUGUUCAUUGUUGACCCAGUCCUUUUGCCAUGGGAUCCACUGUGCAAGAAAAACAGGAUUACUCUGAUUGGGUUCAACAGUGAUGGGCCACCUCUGCGGAGCUGUGGUUACUGGCAGCAAUACAAGACAAAGAGGUAGGAAGACUGGAGGGGAGAUUACCACAAUGUACACUACAAACAAAAUGCUAUAGAAUCACUGUUUUAUGAAGAACAGUUCAUCUUCAUCAAAGUUUGUAAGGACUUGUAGGCAAAAUAUUGAGUCCUUAGGAGAUUUAAAGUUUUCAAAGUUAGAUUAAAUAUAGUAUCUUUUACUUGCUCUCUUAUUUUACUGUUUUUCUGGUACUAUUUUGACAUUGUUACCAUUAUGAUUUCAGAUUUGUUGAGUAAUGAGAUAACCGUUUGUAUUCUCGAUAUUACAUUACGGCAAAAAUUACCUUUUAUAAUUUUUUUUAUUAUCUUCAUUCUGAUAUUUUAUACUGAGAGUGUUCUAGCUGGCCAUGAAUAUCUAAGUUCUUAUGCAACAGGUAGAGAGCAGAAUCAAGGUUAAUGGCAUUAGGAAAAGAAUGUCAAGAGUGUGUCAGAAAAGACACAAAAAUAGAUAUGAAAGAAUAAGAAGUCUUUUGAUGAGAAAUAGUUCAAUCUGUGUUGCUUGAAAGGUAAAAAUAUAAAAAUGACAUGCCUUUCACACAGUGAUAAAAACCCACACAGCUUAUAAUUUAGUGCUGCUUUACUUGUUAUUUGGAAUUGGAAGCUUAAAAUUAUACAAAGUACAAGAACAUCACAGAUGUAUAUUAUAAAUGAAGUAGUGUGGAAAGCCAAAUGUGAAAAAAGUGCAAUAAAGAAAAAAACUACAAAGAAACUUCUUGAAAUUGAAGAGAAACUUUGAAAAAGAUAAUAGAAAUAAUUUUUGUAAAGUCAAUAUGAACCAAAAUUGAAGGACACAGAGUGAAUUUGGUAGAAGAGGUCAAUUUAUCUUUAUAUGAAAGAAAGGUGAAAGUGAAAGGCGCUCAGUUUU
rnacentral:lncRNA from 1 species